GGGACGGUAUCCAAUUUGUGAACUGUACUCCGCCUGCAAGCACAGCAUCAGCAAUUUUAACUGAAUCUGCUCUGAGCCGAAUGCGGACCGAGACAGGACA
rfam:Tumebacillus sp. AR23208, complete genome.